UUGAUGGACUUCCCUCACUCUCUUCCCUCCUCUCUGGCCCUUGAUGGUGGCAGGAACCUGUCACACCUGGAACUUCCCAGAAUAAUUGGGAGGCAGCGAUUUCACUGCUCCGGUUCUGCACACCAUCGCGUCAGUUCCCCAGUGUAGUCUACAACAAAUGACAACAACGUGCGCAGUAUUGAGACCCAUUAAGCUGUGCUGAGCGGGACAUUUCAGCCUGGGCUCCAGCGCUGGGGACAAGAUGAUAGGAUUGAAAAGCUGCUAACUAUUGAUUUGCAAUCACUCUCCUGACCCAGGAGAGCGGGACCGAGCCCUAUGGUGGGAAAGCAAAAGACCCCACAUCUUGCUCAUCAACUUUGCCUCCAAGGCCUCCCACUGUUGGUCUGAUAAAGUCCUUUCCGGUGUGUGCUGAGAACUCCAGCUCUGCCGCUUUGAAGCCUGCGAGGGUGAUAUUCCCUUGGCGAUUGUUCAUUCUUCGCAGAAAUCACAAUCUGGAGCCAGGCUCGCCGGAUUAUUUGUAAUAGAUUUAUUCUUUCAUUUAUUUCCUGCACCUGGAAUGACCCCCCGUUUGUAUUUUUCCUCUGUGGUUCAUAAACACAGACACAAUUUCCCUUUAAUGAGGGAGCUUCACCCUGACUCACCCUGAUAUCUCUGCAGGAUAAACUCCUCUUCAGUCUUCUCAGAUAAUGAUGUGUGUGUAGAUCAUUUACCCCACAAUGUCUAUCAGACAGGAAAAUAAAACGGUGCGACCCAAACGUAUUCUCUGCUGAAAAUGGGGUGCCCCGAAUCUACUCAUUUUGAUGCCAAGAAAACUGUUCUUAUUAAAAUAGUGGAAGAUGCAGGGAAAUGCCUUCUCUUUGUGCGAUCUCGAAAGAACGGACAAUUUCUCUUGCCUCUAAAUGAUAUUUCUUAGCUGAAAGCAGCUCAGUCCACAGCUUAAUGAGUUUCAUGCCAGGCUUUAAUAGGCAUGAGUGAGCAAUGGAAUGGAGGGAUCUCUUGGGGUGCGAAUCCAAGCAUCUUCCAGUGUCCGUAGCCCCCUUCCCUUACCAGCCUCACCAGCAGCUGCCAUAGUACUUUAGAUGGAAUAUUCACAGAUUGCAAAAUAAAGGAACAGCUGAAGAGAAGGCAAAGAUAGCAAAGCAAAAGCUCCACAGUGACAUAGGGAAAUUGAAACUUAUGGCAUUGCAAAUUAAUAACAGCAAGAUUAAAUCCAGGGGCAGGACAAGUGUUAACCAAGAGACUACAGCCAGCUAGAUAAUGAAUGUUGGCAGGUGUGCAGAAGCCUGGAUUCAGACAGGAGGCAAGGGCUCCUUGUUCUCCCUUGUUAGUUCAGAUCUAGAUCUACAAGCCAUCACCACCCUUGAGGAACUCCCACUGACCUCCAUGGAAGUUAUGAGGGUAGCUCUUCAGAUCCCCAAUGCUUCUGAAGCUGAAGCCUCAAAAG